UGAGAAUGUACUAAUACUAGAUGACAAUUGCUUGGCUGAAGUACUUUCCUUCGCAACAGCAGAAUUUUUGCUUGUUGUCGAAUAAAUUUCUAUUCCAACAUCUUCAAGCAUCUCAACGCUUUCCUUGAAGUUUUUAGAAAUGGAUUGUAUGAAUUUGCAAGCUAAUGCAUUAUAACGGCUUAAUAUCGCUAAUACGCAUAAGGAAAAAGGGAUAAAGAAAUUUCGUGUUAGAAGAUAAAGAUCAAUACUUUGCGCGGCAUUUUUUAUUACACUAAUGAAAGCUUGAGUUAUUUUUUUAACAAUACCAACAAAGGCUAGGUGUAAAUGUAAAUUGAAUAUGAAAUUAUCCCAUGAACAUGAUUCAAUAAAAUUUGUAAAUGUUUCUUGAAUUUCUACUCUGGACAAUGUCCGGGCUAAUUUGACAACAUAGACAAAUCGCAGAAAGUAUUCUUUGGAUCUGUGAGAAUUGGAAUGCUUUAUUAAACAACGCUUUGUUUCGCAAAUGAUUUCUUCGAUAUACCGUUUUACUUCACACUGGACUAUCUUUUGCAAUAGUUUUUGUGCUACACCCGAAUCCGCUUUUUCAUUUUUCUGAUGAAAAUUGAAAUUCAUUGACUAUUCAAGUAUUCUGGUUCUCUGGAAAUCUGUCACUGCUAAGAUAAAUUUUUGUUCCACUUCCUAAGCGAACUGGUUGAUUUUUAUAAUUUUUUAAAACUGCCUUUUUUUAAUAUUAAGACAACAAAUAAGCUUGCUUAACUAGGCAACAAUAUGAUAGUUGUAUUUAGUUCUUAAUUUUUUAACAUCCAGAUAGACGUAAACAUUUACUGAAAUAAAAAUGCAAUUUUUUUUUUAAUAAAUAAUAAGAUUUUUUUUUUUAAAUCUCCGUAGUUGUCUAGAAAUAAAAAAAUUAUUUA